CAGUCGCCGCGGGAACACGUAGGUGGCAAGCGUUGUCCGGAAUUAUUGGGCGUAAAGGGCUCGCUGGCGGUUUCUUAAGUCUGAUGUGAAAGCCCCCGGCUCAACCGGGGAGGGUCAUUGGAAACUGGGAAACUUGAGUGCAGAAGAGGAGAGUGGAAUUCCACGUGUAGCGGUGAAAUGCGUAGAGAUGUGGAGGAACACCAGUGGCGAAGGCGACUCUCUGGUCUGUAACUGACGCUGAGGAGCGAAAGCGUGGGGAGCGAACAGGAUUAGAUACCCCAGUAGUCCCUGUCUCUUAUAC
rnacentral:rRNA from 1 species